rnacentral:rRNA from 1 species
UACGUAGGGGGCAAGCGUUGUCCGGAAUCAUUGGGCGUAAAGAGCGUGUAGGCGGCUUGGUAAGUCCGCUGUGAAAGUCCAGGGCUCAACCCUGGAAAGCCAGUGGAAACUGCCAAAGCUAGAGUCCGGAAGAGGCGAGUGGAACUCCUGGUGUAGCGGUGAAAUGCGCAGAUAUCAGGAAGAACACCAAUGGCGAAGGCAGCUCUCUGGGACGGUACUGACGCUGAGACGCGAAAGCGUGGGGAGCGAACAGG